rnacentral:rRNA from 1 species
AGUGAACGCUGGCGGUAGGCCUAACACAUGCAAGUCGAACGGCAGCACAGUAAGAGCUUGCUCUUAUGGGUGGCGAGUGGCGGACGGGUGAGGAAUACAUCGGAAUCUACUUUUUCGUGGGGGUUAACGUAGGGAAACUUACGCUAAUACCGCAUACGACCUACGGGUGAAAGCAGGGGAUCUUCGGACCUUGCGCGAUUGAAUGCGCCGAUGUCGGAUUAGCUAGUUGGCGGGGUAAAGGCCCACCAAGGCGACGAUCCGUAGCUGGUCUGAGAGGAUGAUCAGCCACACUGGAACUGAGACACGGUCCAGACUCCUACGGGAGGCAGCAGUGGGGAAUAUUGGACAAUGGGCGCAAGCCUGAUCCAGCCAGACCGCGUGGGUGAAGAAGGCCUUCGGGUUGUAAAGCCCUUUUGUUGGGAAAGAAAAGCAGCAGGUUAAUACCCCGCUGUUCUGACGGUACCCAAAGAAUAAGCACCGGCUAACUUCGUG